GUUAAUUUGACGAGUAGUAAAGAGUGGUCAAGGAUUUUUAGUCUUUGUUUAUGAUGUGUCAGGCAUUGAAACUUUCAACAGGUGAAAGCUGCGUUCAUGUUUAGAAUGAGCUGAGCUCCAAAUAGUUUGAGAGACUAAUGAAAUGGAGGUGUUUUAAAUUAAUUCUCGAGUUUUCAGAAGUACACAAUUCUUGUUAUAAUGAGUGUGGUUACUAAUCCAGAUUUAUUUGCUUGGCUUUGUCCUUUGGACGAGGCUACAAGAAAUCAAGUGUUUGAUUUUGGGAAACACUUGGAGGCACAAGGCGUCAGUAACAAGGUCAUUGUGGACAGUUAUCGACAAAUAUGUGCAAAGACAUUUGUCACCACGAGCCGCCUCAAAGAUCACGAAGUUUACUCAUACACAAGGAGAUCAAGUGUAGAAAAAGAAAGGACCACACAGAACGAGAAGCCUUGCCUUCAAGCGAAGUUCUCAAGUGAUCUGAUUCUUGAAGAGGAUGAGGACUCAAUCGAAAUCGAUCUUACUGAUGACGAGGGCCUAGAAUCAAUCAGUACAACAGAGGAGGAUAUAAUGGAGAAUAAUAUAAUUACAAAAACAGAUGACAGCAAGAUGUGUGAAGUGAAUGUUAAGGAAGACGAAGGACUUGUGAACAUACAUAAUUUAAUGGAAUCAUCUACAAACUUAGAAAAUGAAGUAAGAUCUGCCAUGAACAUUGAUGAUGAUAAGCCACCUGUUCCAAAUGAGAUUAGUGAGAAAUCAUUAGUCACAAAUGUUACUGUGGAAAUUGGCAAACCACUCGCCCUAAAUUCAGACGAGUCUGUGUUAUUUGUCAGAAACGUAGAGACAUCAAUACAUGUCCAGAAACCUGCUAGUGGACGUAAUGAAGAUAUGGUCAAUAAAAAUGUAGAUGAAGCCUUGAAACCUUACGAAGAGCAAGUUGAAACAACAAAUUUGGAGAGAAAUAAAAUGGCAAGAGGUGUUGAUAUGUCAGAGGACGCAGGGGAGAAAUCUGGCAGCAAUUGUGAAAGUAAGCUAAGUGAGAGUGGGUGUAAUCAGGAAGAACAAUUGCAACAGAAUGUGCCCACAAAGCUUUAUUCACUUAAAGCUUGUAAAACGAACGCUGUUUGUCAAACGAAAAUUGAUGUCUUGGAUCAAAAGAAUGGUGAGAAAACUGAAAAUAUGUAUUUGAAGAUACAUGAGAAAGAAGCAGUGGUAGAAUUAAACAAUGAGAAAGAUCUGGAAACAGAAAAUGUUGAUGGUCACGAAACGUUUGACACAAAACCAAAUGAGUGUGCUGGAGGAAAUGAUACGAGCAAAAAUACUUGUAAUAGUCCAGGUAGUAUAUUUUUAGAAAAUAAUGUCACACAAGUAAAUAAAGAAGCUAAAAACACAAAAGACAUGGAAACUAAUUCUAGGUUAGAAAGUGAAAUAGUCACAAAUAAAGAAAAACAGCAAGAUAAAGCAUUGGUAAACCAUGCACACAUAUUACAGAUAACUAAACUUCAAGAAAAAUUAGCACAGAGUUUAAACAUUAUGAACAUUAAUAUGAAUUCAAGUCAAGUAAGGCAGAACAAGAAUGUACAAAAUAAUUUAAAAUGUAAUACAAGUGUAGAAAAACCGGAUGAAACUCAUUCAGUAACAACGGCCGCAAAAACUUUUUCCAAAUUUAAGACAAGUGAUGUUGAAGGGAAGGUCAGUAAUAUUGUCCAUAUGAAAAUAAAUCAUAAUACUUCAAGUCCUGUGAAUGAAACCACAGUAAAAGAUUUUGGACAUGUUGGAGAAAACCUAACACAAGGAAAAGAACUAUGUUGUGUAAUAAAUGAUAAACAUCAGACUUUAUCUGGAAAUAGUAGUGAGGUUAGCAUAAAAUCUUUUACUGAGUCUAAUAUAAAUUUAUCAAUGCAACCAGGGAUGAGAAGUUUUGAUGGAUCGUCUUUAACUGAAUCUGUUAUAAUGCUGCUGGACAAAAAUCCUUCUGAGACUCCACCACCUGUUUUUAAGGAUGGUAUGGGUCGUAAAGAAGAUUCCCGUGACUGUACAUCGUUUGAAGAUAAUGUUGAACUUUGUAAUGAUCAAUAUGCGGUUGAUGUUGUUGAAAAGACUAAAACCAAUGUUUUACAAUAUAAAAAGGGACAGAAUAAACAAGUCAACAAGCAAAUAUCAAAAAAUGCUAGCCUUGAUAAAAAUAAAGUUAGGAAAACUACAGAGCUUCAAGAACAAUUACGAGAGUUUACUUCUCAGGUUAAACAACUUGAUAAGCAAUUGACUGCUAAAAAACAUGCUAUUGAUAUCUCAGAAGAAGAAACAGAUAAAACCCUCUGUAUUAAAAGACAAAGGAAAUCAAUUGAUCAAAUGUCAGAAUCGAAGGAAUCAAGUAGACCUACAGUUUCUCAAGCUAAAACCAAUGACUCCAAAGAUAGAGAUAGAAAUGUUCCAAAAGUUCCUACACAUAAGAAAAGCUUGUCAUUAGAACAAAAAGUAAAUAAAUUGAGAAAUGAAAGAAAAUCGUUAGAUAUAAAUCCUGUUACAAUCAGUCAAUUAGAGUCUGACUUCACUGGGACUAUAAUAAAUAAUGGUACCUCAGCAACCAGUGGAGAAAACAUAACCCAAGUUGUGUCAGACGAUACGAUAAAUACUUCUCCAGAGUUAGUUCCGUCUGCAGGCCUGGUGUCAGCAUCUACUGAGCGUACAAAUUUGGAAGAACAAAGGCACCAGAAUUUCCAGACAAUUCGAACUUCAGUUGAAUCUCCAAAGUCUCAAACUAUGCAACCAAAUCUGACAUCGUCAAAGGAGAGUUCCCAUUUACAAAAUGCAAAAAAGACCCAGCCAUUGUCUACUGUAAGGCAAAACGCUCAAAUGAACGUGAAAGAAAAUAAUAUGGUGAUGAAAGCUGCAAAUAUUUACACUUUCUAUUUUGGCCAGCCCUUUGAUGUCAUACCUGGAGAAAUAGUAGAAAAUAUUGGUGAAUUCAUGACGUCAACAAGGAUGAACGUGCCGGAUUACACAACCAACACCAUUGUAUAUUUCUACAUGUAUAUAUAUUACAUUAAAUUUAGUGAUGAGAUAAACGUUAAAGUUAAUAAAACUGCAGAACUCUUACAUUUAGCAAUUGCUGACUGUAACCGAAAAUUUGAGCGCAUAGAGAGGGCAAAAAGAUUGACUUCGGAAAUACUAAGGUAUGAAGAGAUAAAGCGGGCAAAUGAUGACUACGCUGAAAUGUUAAAUCUGCGUAGUUUUAAAUUAAAAGAGUUGUUUUUGUCAGUGCUGGAGAAAUGUGAAUUCUGUGAGCUUGUCAUACUUACCGCAAUGUAUUUCAGAAUCACGCAGUCCCUCUUAAACAUUGAUAGAGAAAAUAUUAAUUACAUUUAUAAUCUGCGAAAACUAAUUAAAGGGCUCAUGAAAGUACAAGGAAAUAUUUUCUCUAAAGCUUUUAACUAUUUGUUUGAAUUGGAAGAAGGGCCAUUUAGUGUGUUAUACACGUUUGUGAAACGGUGCAUUGUGUCACUUUACGUCUCGGGCUAUAAAGAGGAAGGGUCAGACGACAUACUGAGAUUAGCACACUUGGACCCAUGUGGACCAAAAAUGCAAGAUCUGUUAGCAAAGUACAAUGGUCAACAAGAAACUGGAACAAGAAGAACUCAAGUGAUUCGUUCGGCCCAAGCAAAGAAUGAUACAGUUCUCUCUGUAGUCAAUGAGCGUCUGGUACAUCAUCUGACUACUUCUUCGACUCGAUUGACCAGUAAAAAUAAGAACAUACAACCUUUGGGUUCAGUGGAUUCAGCACAUCAGUCGGCAGAAGCCAUACCAAAUGUGGCCAAACAGCAAGUUUGUACUGUCAAUGUUAACAAUAGUCCCACAGUAAAUUCCAUUGCUAUUGCCAAUAGUACUCCUGUUGCCAAUCGUGUUCCAUACGGAACUAAUAGUGGAAUAGCAACAAACUUUUCAUAUCAAUUGCAAAAUCAAUCCCAGUUCCAAACCUCCAGUCAAGGCAUAAAGCUUACUAAUGCCCCAACUCAGUCAGUAGUUUUACAGCCUAACAAUGAAGGUGCAAGUAUACAAAAUCAUAUUAUACCUCAAUUGCCUGUAGGGGGUCAGCCAAAUUCAUUACAAGACCGUCCACCACCACCACCCUACAAUACAGUACAGUACAGGUUGGGCUUCAGCACGAAUAUAGCACAGCAGCAACAAAAUCAUAAAGUGCCUUUGAUGCAUCAAAUAUUGAGUAAUGCUCCAAACGCCGCAGUUGCAAAAUCACAUGUUAAACAAUAGUAGGACACACACAAGGCAAAACAUAGGGAGCUUCUCAAAUCCACCAUAUAUGACCCACCAAUUCCAAGGUUCCAAUCAGAAUGAAAGACCUCAAGCAGCAGCUUUGAACAGAUUACUAUAUCAACCAGUGGCAAUGCAGCAAAACAGUAUUAGCGCAAGUGUAGAGAACAGUAGAAAUUGGCAUCAGUAUCAGCAACUGCAUAGAACUAAUGUUAGAAAUGGCAACCCAGUGGGUCAACAGCUGCUGACCUCAAUCAGGGAAGACUCAGUGAACGAGGUUCCACUUCAGUUACAAGAUCCGUAAUGAGAGUGUUAGAGCGAGUGGGAAAGAUCUAGGAGUGGUCAGAUUUCUCCUUCUUCCGCCUAUUCUGACCAUCAUCGUCUGCAGUGAAAUUAAGCUUAAACCUUACCACAGGAGAUGUGUCAUUCUGGACGGCACACAGAACACAAGUACAACUCAAGACUGGUAUGGUCAACAUUCAAGAUCCUGCCAUGAGGGGUUUUAAAAAUUCCAAAUACUUUGGAAAUUCUUCAUUCGAGAUCUGAACUUAAUAAAUAACUUUUUUACUAUACAAUUCACAAUAUUGUAAAUAGCCUUUAUAUAGUUAAGUAAAUAGUUCUGAUUUUUGUCAUGAGAUUUUAAAAAUUUCAGGGUAGAAGUUACUUAAAUUACUAAAAUUACUAUGGUACCAUGUAUGUGUUCAGAUGUUCAAAUUAUAUUGUGUUAACAUUGUUGGUACAUAAUUCAAUUGAGAUACUGUGAUUGUAUUGGCUUCCUUUAUGUAUUAAGACAUAGUUUAUAAUUUAUUACAGUAAAAAAUGUUUAGAAAAAAAUAGUUCAUAUUUUUAAGCUAAUCAUAAGCUUAUGUAGUAUGAGAUAACUGAGAUAUAUAUAUACAUAUAUUUUGUUUCUUUUUGGUUUGUGCAAUACAGGUUACAACUUUUAAGUCUAGUUUGAUUAAAUAUUUAAUAGUUAAAUUUAUCUAGUGUUUUAACUCAGUUAUUCAUUCCUCUAAUUUCAGAUUCACAUUGUUUUUCUUAGGUCUAGUAUAAGAAAAGUGAUUUUUUUUUGUAACAUGUGUUUUUAUAAUUGAUUCACAAUAUAAUUUUUCCCGAAUAUAGCCAUUUAUUAUUGCA